UUUCGCUUCUUCACCCUUUUCAAACUCAUUUCUUUCUCCUUUCUUUUUCUCGGAUAUUCUUUCUCCCUCUCUCCAAAGUUCUUCGAUCCUUUCCGUCUCCAAAGCUCUCCAAAGUUAGCUGCAUAUGAUUCGAUUAGAAACUGGAUAUUGCAAGGGUUUCGUUUAAUCAAAGGCCUUUGAAGGAGGACGAUUUAAUGGCAGCGACGACGGCGCAAGGGAUGGACCCAGCAGUACUAGACGAUAUAAUCAGACAGCUGACGGAAGUUCGGUCAGCCAGGCCAGUGAAACAAGUUUGCUUGAACUCGAAGCACCCAUCAAAAUUUGCGGUGACAUACAUGGGCAAUGUAGUGAUUUACUAAGGCUGUUCGAGUAUGGGGGUUUUCCUCCUCAUGCUAAUUACCUAUUUCUAGGCGACUAUGUUGAUCUUGGCAAGCAGAGUUUGGAAACUUCUGGAGAUAACCGAGAAGUGGAACAUGGUUUGUCUGUAAAAUUGCAAGUUCAAAAGUUAAUUCUCCAAGCUACAUCACAUGAAAAUUUGUGCCAGAACUAUGUUGGGUAUGAUGCUCUGCUAUUUUACUACUUUCCUUGUUUAUAUUUGUGGUGCAUGUCUGUCUAUAUAUGUGUUCUAGAAUUUUGUUGAAGGGUAUAUAUUGGAUUUUUAUUUACAUAGUAGGAUAUUAAAAUGACAAACAGGAAGGCACCUCAACAU